rnacentral:rRNA from 1 species
CCCCUAGAUGUUCUGGGCCGCACGCGCGCUACACUGAACAGUUCAACAAGUCUUAACCUUGGCCGAUAGGUCUGGGUAAUCUUUGAACGCUGUUCGUGAUUGGGAUAGACCUUUGCAAUUAUGGGUCUUCAACGAGGAAUUCCUAGUAAACGCAAGUCAUCAACUUGCAUUGAUUACGUCCCUGCCCUUUGUACACACCGCCCGUCGCACCUACCGAUUGAAUGGUCCGGUGAAAUCUCGGGACGGCGGCUUGGUCGCUUGCGUCCGACUGCUGAAACUUGAUUAAACCAUAUCAUUUAGAGGAAGGUGAAGUCGUANCA